ACUGGGCAUAGUGGCAUACUUUUGUAAUCCCUACUAUUGGGGAAGUUAAGGCUGGCAGAUCUCUUUAGCUCAGGAGUUCUGACUUGCCGUGGACUAAGAGCUGAUUGGGUGUCUGUAAUAUCUGGAAUCAUGUGGUGAUGGGGGUGGAGAUGGAGAAGAACCAAUUUUCCUAAGGAAGGCUGAAUCAGCCCAGGUCAGAGAUAGAGCAGGUCAAAGCUUCUACGCCGAUCAGUAGUGAGAUCAGGCCCAUGAGUGGCCCUCGGACUUCUGUCCUGGGCAGUAUAGGGAGUCCCAGUCUCAA
rnacentral:SRP_RNA from 1 species